rnacentral:rRNA from 1 species
GACGAACGCUGGCGGCGUGCUUAACACAUGCAAGUCGAACGGAAAGGCCCCUUUGGGGGUACUCGAGUGGCGAACGGGUGAGUAACACGUGAGUAACCUGCCCUUGACUUCGGGAUAACUUCAGGAAACUGGGGCUAAUACCGGAUAGGAAUCCUUGCUGCAUGGUGGGGGUUGGAAAGCUUCGGCGGUUUUGGAUGGACUCGCGGCUUAUCAGCUUGUUGGUGGGGUAGUGGCUUACCAAGGCUUUGACGGGUAGCCGGCCUGAGAGGGCGACCGGCCACAUUGGGACUGAGAUACGGCCCAGACUCCUACGGGAGGCAGCAGUGGGGAAGAUUGAACAAUGGGCGGAAGCCUGAUGCAGCAACGCCGCGUGCGGGAUGACGGCCUUCGGGUUGUAAACCGCUUUCAGCAGGGGCGAAGCUUGUGGUGACGGUACCUGCAGAAGAAGCACCGGCUAACUACGUG